UGGUGUAGGGGUAAAAUCCGUAGAGAUCAGAAGGAAUACCGAUUGCGAAGGCGAUCUACUGGAACAUUACUGACGCUGAGAUGCGAAAGCGUGGGGAGCAAACAGGAUUAGAUACCCUGGUAGUCCACGCCCUAAACGAUGCACACUAGUUGUUGCUAUGCUAGACAUAGCAGUAAUGCAGUUAACACAGUAAGUGUGCCGCCUGGGGAGUACGGUCGCAAGAUUAAAACUCAAAGGAAUAGACGGGGACCCGCACAAGCGGUGGAGCAUGUGGUUUAAUUCGACGAUACGCGAAGAACCUUACCUGGCCUUGACAUAGAGAGAACUUUCCAGAGACGGAUUGGUGCUAGUUUACUAGAGCUUUCAUACAGGUGCUGCACGGCUGUCGUCAGCUCGUGUCGUGAGAUGUUGGGUUAAGUCCCGCAACGAGCGCAACCCUCGUGUUUAGUUACUAACAGUUCGGCUGAGGACUCUAGACAGACUGCCUGGGCAACCAGGAGGAAGGUGAGGACGACGUCAAGUCAUCAUGGCCCUUACGGCCAGGGCUACACACGUGCUACAAUGGGGUAUACAAAGAGCCGCGAUACCGUGAGGUGGAGCAAAUCUCAUAAAAUAUCUCCCAGUUCGGAUAGCAGUCUGCAACUCGACUGCUUGAAGUUGGAAUCGCUAGUAAUCGUAGAUCAGCAAUGCUACGGUGAAUACGUUCCCGGGUCUUGUACUCACCGCCCCGUCACACCAUGGGGAAAUUGAAAUUCAUUCGAA
rnacentral:rRNA from 1 species